UACAGAGGAUGCAAGCGUUAUCCGGAAUGAUUGGGCGUAAAGCGUCUGUAGGUGGCUUUUUAAGUCCGCCGUCAAAUCCCAGGGCUCAACUCUGGACAGGCGGUGGAAACUACCAAGCUGGAGUACGGUAGGGGCAGAGGGAAUUUCCGGUGGAGCGGUGAAAUGCGUAGAGAUCGGAAAGAACACCCGUGGCGAAGGCGAUCACCUGGGGUUGUUCUGACGCUGAGGAGCGAAAGCUAGGGGAGCAAACGGG
rnacentral:rRNA from 1 species